UUACCCAAUCCUGACACAGGGAGGUAGUGACAAGAAAUAACAAAGCAAGUCUCUCAGAGGCGCUGCGUUGGAAUGAGUAGAAUUUAAAUCUCUUUACGACCAUCAAUUGGAGGGCAAGUCUGGUGCCAGCAGCCGCGGUAAUUCCAGCUCCAAUAGCGUAUAUUAAAGUUGUUGCGGUUAAAAAGCUCGUAGUUGGAUUUCUGUCUAGGGUGGCCGGUACCCACUAUGUGAAGUAUCUGGUUCAGUCUGGGCAUCCUCUUGGGGAUCGUUCCUGUGCUUGAUUGCAUGGGGCGGAAUUCAAGACUUUUACUUUGAGGAAAUUAGAGUGUUCACGGCAAGCUUUCGCUUCGAAUACAUUAGUAUGGAAUAAUGAUAUAGGGCAUAAGUUCUAUUUUGUUGGUUUCUAGAACAUAUGCAAUGAUUAAUAGGGAUAAUUGGGGGCACUCGUAUUAACGCGUCAGAGGUGGAAUUCUUAGAUUGCGUUACGACGAACUACUGCGAAAGCAUUUGCCAAGGAUGUUUUCAUUGAUCAAGAACGAAAGUAUGGGGAUCGAAGACGAUUAGAUACCGUCGUAGUCUAUACCAUAAACUAUGCCAACUAGAGAUUGGAG
rnacentral:rRNA from 1 species